CUAUGUGUAAAAACCAAAGUAAACAUGAGUCUGUGAUUGAGGCAGAGUUACUGGAGGGAACUCGAGAGAAGGGGAAGAAGAUAGAAUAAAUGGGGUGAAGGGGACAGGGAAGUGGGCAGGUCUGGGAGGAGUUGGCGGCGGAAGAGACCAUUGGGCAGGGGGCCGUGGCCUGCAGUACUGUCCCUGUGGGGAGUGGAGAAGAUUCCAUCCUCCUGGGGGAUGAACAGGGCGGGGCUUUGAGGAGCAAGAAGACUCUCCUGAGGUAGCUGGGAAAAGCCGGAAGUCUUGGAGCUGCGAUUUCUCUGCCUGCCCCUCGGUCGUCCUCCCUUCCCAGGAAGUUUCGGGCUCUCUCUGAUUUUCUGGGAACAGCGAUCACUUUUGUCCUAGGGAAGCCACAUCCGUGCUUGCAGCUCCCUGAGGAACCUGCAGCCAGAGGGAAUGGGCCCUGGGAGCCUCAGAUCUCCUCAGGUGAGUGCAGUUCAUCUAGACCUGAUCAAAACCAACCAUCACAACCAUUUGCCUUGACAUGGAGGAUGGUGUGUGAAUCUGGCAAUAACUUACUUAUAGAUUGUCGUAUUACAAAAAUGGUUAUUAUGUUAACACAAUAGGAACAAUAUUGCCCAUCUCUUCUGUGUUUUUGACUGAUUCACUGAGAUUUUAAUUUUAAUAUCUUGCCAUUUAUCCUUGUUUUAAGUUUACCAAUUUAUUUUUCUAUUUUUUUUUUCGAAUACAGAUUUAGUUCAUCUCUUUUUCUAAAUGCUUCAUGUGCGAUUAUAAGUCCUCUCCUCCCAAUGUAGUCUCCAAAAUGCUUGCUUCCCAGUCCAAAGAAUAACCAACAUAGUGGAGCCAACAUGGCUGGAACUCUACCAGAGUCCCUGAGGAUUACUUUGGCAGAAUCCUAGAAAUUUGGGGAUAUUGUUUAAACAUUGUCAUUUUUUUUUUUUUGUUUGUUUUGCAAUGUUAUCAUUUCUGAGAUCUGUUUUGACCCAGUUAUUGUUGAAUAUGUCACUGGUAAUUCUCCAUUUAUGUUUAUAUCUUCUGUCAGUGAUCCCUGAAUCAAUUUCCAUUCUUAUUUCCUUAGGUAAUGAAAGAAUGUAUGAAUUAUUUCUGCCCAUUUACCUUUGUCUGCAGCAUCUCUAUAUCCCAUAUUUAUAGAAGUUCCACAUGUGACAAAGAAAUAUGCAUAUUUCUGUGUUGUCCCAUUUAGAAGAUGCCACAAGUUUUUUACCUCCAAUGUCUUUAGAAUUUGUUCAUCACUUCUGCUUUCAUCUCAUUCUACAUUUGUUCAUCUCCCUUUUCUUUUUAGUUCUCUUGUAGUUGCUUUUCCUCUCUUCCCCUUCAACUAGAGUUCUGUUCAUCAGUUUUUAAAUUUCAUCCAUUUUUUUCCCUUUCCAAGGAGGAUUUCUCCCCUUCUCCUCGUUGUCCAUCUUCCCUUUUUGUUUUACCUACAUACUCAUUCUGUCAGUCAUAGCCACUCUACUCCUCUGAUCGGUCUCCUUUCUCUGGACACUUCAUACAAUCAACAGCUUCCCAGUUAUCCAUUUUAAGCUGUGCCCUGUAGAUGCUUUCUGCUGUUGACUCUAGUCCAACCCCCUUUCCCCCCAGAUUCCUCUUUCCCAUGGUGCUUUUCUUUCAGAAUAUUGUGUAUCACAGCAGGUGUCAAGGAGAACAUGGCUCCAUAGCUAGGAACAUUUCCUCCUAAUAUUUACCCUCUCUUAUUUCUUUGCCUUUCUUCCAUAUUCUCCUAGAAAUCUCAGUCCUGUCUUUUCAGGGACUAACCCCCUAAGCCUCAGAAUGAAGUUCCUUAUCUCCUCUAAGAAUGUCAUCAAUGAAACUUCCUUCCUUUCUGCACCUUUUCCACUGUCAGCAUAGCAAUUUUUAGCUUAUGUUUUGUUUUUGAGUCCUGGGUUUGGUUUUUCUGUGGAUUCUUCUCAUUGGAAUUUCAUUUUCUUUGUCCAGAAUUUCCUUCCUGAUCGGGUCCAUUUUUUUAACCAGCUGUGUCUUUCCAGGGAACCUAUUGAAGGAAGUGAACUAUGAAAGCUGUCUCACAAGAUGGAGACAUGUCCUAAAGACUGCUUGAAGGUGGGCUGUGGCCCAUAGACGGGUAUUUUUCUCCAGAAGCGCUUUGUGAGACUAAGUUAGGGUUACCUUGGCAUUAUAACUCUCACAUAAGGUAAUUCAGUAAUCCUACAGAUGUGGUCAGGUUGGAUGUUUUCCUCAUUUAUGACUUAGAAUGGGAGGUCAUUUGUCCUGGCUAAUCAGGGCAAGGAUCCAGCCUAUAGGGGGUUAGCCCAGGCCCCUACAUAAUUCUUGUCUGUUACCGGGGCCCUGCCUCCCCUUGCCUAACUCCUUGUGGGAAGGGAGGGGCUCUUUUUCUUGAGAUCAUAAUAAAAUGCCUGUCUGCUUUUACCUUGAGAAA